rnacentral:pre_miRNA from 1 species
AAUAAGUACAGCUAUGGUUUCGCGCCCAACUUUGACCGUUCGUCUUAUUUGAAAACUUUUAGAAAAAAAUAAAAACAUAAGUCACGAGUAAAGUACUAUUCAUAUUUUAUCAUCUCAUAAUAACAAAAAUGCUAAUCAUAAAAAAAUUUCAAAUAAGACGGACAAUCAAAGUUGGAUGCGGAAACUCAUGAUUGUACUUAUU